UACGUGGGGUGCAAGCGUUAAUCGGAAUUACUGGGCGUAAAGCGUGCGCAGGCGGUUGUGCAAGACCGAUGUGAAAUCCCCGGGCUUAACCUGGGAAUGGCAUUGGUGACUGCACGGCUAGAGUGUGUCAGAGGGGGGUAGAAUUCCACGUGUAGCAGUGAAAUGCGUAGAGAUGUGGAGGAAUACCGAUGGCGAAGGCAGCCCCCUGGGAUAACACUGACGCUCAUGCACGAAAGCGUGGGGAGCAAACAGG
rnacentral:rRNA from 1 species